rnacentral:lncRNA from 1 species
ACGUUCGUGAGAGUUGCAAUCCGAGAUCACCGAAUUGUUUUGCUACAACCCACAUUUUGUUUUGCUACCACCCAUCAUCAGCGUCCUUAUUUUCCUAUGACCACUUUGAUAUUUUUUGCUACAAUCAUAUUUUUUAUUACAACCGUGGACGAAAUUCGCCGCGUCGUGGCCUAAAUUUGAUGCAUCGAGGAAUUUUUGCUCCAUGAAAGAUCUAACUGUGUGGUCCGUGGAUCUGACGGUUGGGCUCCGACCGACGCAAGCGGUCGUGCCGGCGCGCCGACGCCCAGUGCGGCCCAUUCAUUUAGCGGGCAGAGUCCGUAAGUUUCAUCCGUAGGUUGUCCAUAAGUGUAACAUUUUUGCUCCACAAAUUAGCAGACCAAGCUUUAUAAAACACAAGCAUCAUCUCAAAAACAAAUAUAUUACCCUUUUGGUUCUAAGAUAACUGUCUCGACUUUGUAUUAGCUCUAGUAUAAAAUUAUACUAAGUUUAAGACAUUUAUUUUAAAAGGGAGGAAAUACAAAACACGAGCAACAUAUUCAUUAACCGAACCAUUUCGUCGCCUCGCCUCUCUUCCUCCACCGAAAUUUACCCACCCACCCAAUUCCUGAGUAAACAAUUCCUGAGCUAACACGAGCUAGCUUGGGCCCUCUAGGCUAUGCAUACAUAAUUAAAUGGCAAGCUCGGUAUGUGUGGGGUGCGUACAAUAUGCAGCCGCUGCAGCUGACAAAAACUCAUCUGAACUGAAUAGAAAGAGAAAAAUUGUAAGCAAAAUGAAGAAAACGAGUUAUUCUUGUUGGUUCUAACAAACCAAAGUUUUGAAUUAACACCAUGAUAAACAAUUGCCAUUGUGAAGUUUGGGGAUAUAAAACCUGGAUGCCCAAUCUACUCUCUUGUGAAGUUUCAUGAAACUAUAUUAGGAACCAUAUCUGUGGCGAAGAAAAUAUAGUCCGAUCUAUGAUCCAUCCAAACAGUUUUUUUUCUAUAUAACUAGAUUUUUUUUAUUUUUUAUUGAGAACACAUUUCCUGAUAUUUUUCUUAAAAACUUCACAUGGGAGUAGAUUGGAAACCCAAAUUUGACAUCCCAAAAUUCCAGAUAUUUCUAAAUUCCCCUGAUUUUUAAAUUUAAUACUCAUAGGGUGCUCCCAAUCCUCUUCCCAACUUAAUUGCCUAAUUUGUACUACCAUUAUUUUCUCUGAUGUUCACUCCAAACUGGGUCGCAACAAAAGAAAUUAUACCCAUUUGGCGGGACACAGUUCCAUGUCCAUGGUCCCUAAUAGGCUUAUAUUCCAAGUAUAAUUGUCAAAGCUGUGCUUUGAGCCGCUCAAAUCGGGAAUUUUGAAGCCCAGUUGCUAGGGAAAAGGAAGCAUCGUAGAAAACACAAGCAAUAGACUCUGUUCAUCUACCCCUUCUACCUCCACGUUUGCAAAAUUUACUCCUGAAUGUAAACAAAAGCAUUCACUACAACACUGACACUUGUCUCUCCACCUGCCCCUCCCUCUCCUUCUGCUGUUGUCGCGCGUUACCCCUCCGAUGCCUAUUUAAAGACCACGAGUGCAUCAGCAGAAGCAUAUUAUCACGCACACAACAACACAAGAACGAGUAGGAUCUAGAGGCCCACAUUAGCAAGAAACGCUCUAACACUGUCACCUCCCUCCUCCUGGUUUACCUCGCGUUGUCGGUGCAUGCCGUGGCGGCGACCAUGACCGUGUCUGUUGGGGGUGAGGCAAAGGCCUCGCUUUGGACCGCUGUUGUAUCAGGAAUGGGCGGAGGCGACGAGUAGAACCUGUUUGUGGGCAUGGGAGGCAUGGGAAACAUACCGCGUGGCACCGAAUUGCUGGGCCGUAGUCACUUGUCGGGCUCUGGACAACAACAGAGUCGGUGUCUUUCCGAUGGCACGGGUCAGAUUGGCAGGGUCCGAGGUAGCGCGUGUAGCGCAUGUCCGAUCGGUGGUUGCACAAGAGCCGGUGAUACAUCGUUGGACGAAUAUGUCAGUUCUAGCAUCCCAUUCCGCGUGCUCUGUUGAAAAUAACCAUGUUGUCCGCAUCCUGGUUGGACUAGGAACAAUCAACCGACUUGAUUAUGUAUUAGGAUAGCUUUAGCACUUUAUAUACUCGUGUUACCUACCCCUUGUAAACUCAUGUCAGAUCAAUACAAAGCAACUGGAACGACACGUCCCUGGUUUUGCAAUUAAGUCGCCGUGUCCCUGUUCACGUGUGUUGCGUAGUGAAAAACCAUCCAGCUUCCAGCUUGUGUGCGUAGCUUUGCUACGUGCGUGUCUUCCGCCUAGUCGGUCGUUCGUCGUUCCGUCGG